UUUGUGUCCUGGAGUCAGGGGAUCCCGAGGAUCUUGCAAAAUGAGUCCCUUGUGACGUAAAGCGGAGCCGAGGAGUCGUUGCAGGGCAGAGACCCGGCCCCGGCGUACCCCAGCAUUGCGGGCGGGAUGGGUCUGUGCGAGUCCACGCUGCCCCAGCUGGGCAGAGCUUUACGGCCCCAGGAGAAGGACAUCCUGAGGUAUCCUCUGAUCAUCUUUGUGGUGGGGGGGCCUGGCUGCGGGAAAGGGACCCAGUGCAGAAACAUGGCUAUGAAAUACGGCUUCUACCACGUGGAGCUGGGCCAGCUGCUGCGGGAGGAGGCUCAGAGAAGCACCCAGAGGGGCCGGCAGAUCCGGGACAUCAUGCAGCAGGGACUCCUGGUACCCACGGGUCUCAUUCUGGACAUGGUCAGUGACAACUUGUUGUCUUAUCCAAAGAGCCGCGGCUUUCUCGUCGAUGGCUUCCCCAGAGAGCUGGAACAGGCCAAAGAGUUUGAGCGGAUUGUGGGCAGGGCCCCCAACAUAGUCAUAGUGUUUGACUGCUCCAUGGAGACCAUGGUGCGCAGAGUGCUACGACGAGGACAGGUGGAGCACCGGGCAGAUGAUUCAGAGCUGGCCAUCCGCAAGCGCCUAGAGACACACUACACCCUAUGUGAGCCCGUCCUGACCUUUUACCAGCAAAAGAACCUUCUGAGAAAUAUAUUAGCUGAAGGAGCCCCUGAAAGCAUCUUCGCCAAGUGCUGUUCAGUCAUUGAGAGUCUGCAGUGAGCUAGGUAGGACUGGGCCAACAUCUCGCCUACCCUUCUCCACAGCAGACAGCAGUUUAUCUCAUCUUCAACAGAUGACAACGUACCAGGCCAGUCCUGGGGUUGGGGUGGGUAUAGGGAGGAGCCAGGGGAGAGCGGGGCGGGAAGAGAGAGAGAGAGAGAGAGAGACAGAGAGAGAUGGGCAGGGACAGGAGGGGCCUGUGACACCCACACCUGGUCCAAGGAAUGUUCCAACUCUAACUAAAAGAAAAAAAAAAAGAAAAAAAAAAAA